CCUACGGGAGGCUGCAGUGAGGAAUAUUGGUCAAUGGACGAGAGUCUGAACCAGCCAAGUAGCGUGAAGGAUGACUGCCCUAUGGGUUGUAAACUUCUUUUAUAUGGGAGUAAAAUGUUCCACGUGUGGGGUUUUGUGUGUACCAUAUGAAUAAGGAUCGGCUAACUCCGUGCCAGCAGCCGCGGUAAUACGGAGGAUGCGAGCGUUAUCCGGAUUUAUUGGGUUUAAAGGGUGCGUAGGUGGAUAGUUAAGUCAGUUGUGAAAGUUUGCGGCUCAACCGUAAAAUUGCAGUUGAAACUGGCAGUCUUGAGUACAGUAGAGGUGGGCGGAAUGCGUGGUGUAGCGGUGAAAUGCAUAGAUAUCACGAAGAACUCCGAUUGCGAAGGCAGUUCACUGGACUGCAACUGACACUGAGGCUCGAAAGUGUGGGUAUCAAACAGGAUUAGAUACCCGAGUAGUC
rnacentral:rRNA from 1 species